rnacentral:misc_RNA from 1 species
UUGAAGUUGUGAAAUACUGAUGUCAUUACUUGACUUCAGGAUAAGCAAUUCAGCAUCAAUUUUCUCUACUUCAUUUAAUUCAAUUUCCACUUCACAUGAUAUGCGCUUGGAUUGCAAUGCUUUUGAGAUGAUUGACCAGCCAGAGGGCUUUGAUUUGCCUUUGGCUGAGAAAGGAAAGAUAAGAUCGAUCUGAACACCACAAGACUAAUUUCUUGA